rnacentral:rRNA from 1 species
AUUGAACGCUGGCGGCAGGCCUAACACAUGCAAGUCGAGCGGUAGAGAGGUGCUUGCAUCUCUUGAGAGCGGCGGACGGGUGAGUAAUGCCUAGGAAUCUGCCUGGUGGUGGGGGAUAACGUUCGGAAACGGACGCUAAUACCGCAUACGUCCUACGGGAGAAAGCGGGGGAUCUUCGGACCUCGCGCCAUUAGAUGAGCCUAGGUCGGAUUAGCUAGUUGGUGAGGUAAUGGCUCACCAAGGCGACGAUCCGUAACUGGUCUGAGAGGAUGAUCAGUCACACUGGAACUGAGACACGGUCCAGACUCCUACGGAGGCAGCAGUGGGGAAUAUUGGACAAUGGGCGAAAGCCUGAUCCAGCCAUGCCGCGUGUGUGAAGAAGGUCUUCGGAUUGUAAAGCACUUUAAGUUGGGAGGAAGGGUAGUAACCUAAUACGUUGCUACUUUGACGUUACCGACAGAAUGAGCACCGGCUAACUUCGUGCCAGCAGCCGCGGUAAUC